rnacentral:rRNA from 1 species
CCUACGGGUGGCAGCAGUGGGGAAUAUUGGGCAAUGGCGCAAGCCUGACCCAGCAACGCCCCGUGAAGGAAGAAGGCUUUCGGGUUGUAAACUUCUUUUAAGAGGGAAGAGCAGAAGACGGUACCUCUUUAAUAAGCCACGGCUAACUACGUUCCAGCAGCCGCGGGAAUACGUAGGUGGCAAGCGUUGUCCGGAUUUACUGGGUGUAAAGGGCGUGCAGCCGGGAAGACAAGUCAGAUGUGAAAUCCCGAGGCUCAACCGCGGAACUGCAUUUGAAACUGUUUUUCUUGAGUACCGGAGAGGUCAUCGGAAUUACUUGUGUAGCGGUGAAAUGCGUAGAUAUAAGGAAGAACACCAGUGGCGAAGGCGGAUGACUGGACGGCAACUGACGGUGAGGCGCGAAAGCGUGGGGAGCAAACAGGAUUAGAUACCCCAGUAGUC